rnacentral:rRNA from 1 species
AACGCUGGCGGCGCGCCUAACACAUGCAAGUCGAACGAGCGAGAGAGAGUUUACUUUUUCGAGCGAGUGGCGAACGGGUGAGUAACGCGUGAGCAACCUGCCCUUCAGAGGGGGACAACAGUUGGAAACGACUGCUAAUACCGCAUAAUGUAUUCGGAAGGCAUCUUCUGGAUACCAAAGGAGAAAUCCGCUGAGGGAUGGGCUCACGUCUGAUUAGUUAGUUGGUGAGGUAACGGCUCACCAAGACUGCGAUCAGUAGCCGGACUGAGAGGUUGAACGGCCACAUUGGGACUGAGAUACGGCCCAGACUCCUACGGGAGGCAGCAGUGGGGAAUAUUGGGCAAUGGGCGAAAGCCUGACCCAGCAACGCCGCGUGAAGGAAGAAGGCCUUCGGGUUGUAAACUUCUUUUAAGAGGGACGAAGAAGUGACGGUACCUCUUGAAUAAGCCACGGCUAACUACGUG